UACAGAGGGUGCAAGCGUUGUUCGGAAUUAUUGGGCGUAAAGGGUGCGUAGGCGGUGCGGUAAGUCUUUUGUGAAAUCUCCGGGCUCAACUCGGAGCCUGCAAGGGAAACUGCCGUGCUUGAGUAUGGGAGAGGUGAGUGGAAUUCCUGGUGUAGCGGUGAAAUGCGUAGAUAUCAGGAGGAACACCUGUGGCGAAAGCGGCUCACUGGACCAUAACUGACGCUGAUGCACGAAAGCUAGGGGAGCAAACAGG
rnacentral:rRNA from 1 species